AGAGUGAACGCUGGCGGUAGGCCUAACGCAUGCAAGUCGAACGGCAGCACAGUGGUAGCAAUACCAUGGGUGGCGAGUGGCGGACGGGUGAGGAAUACAUCGGAAUCUACCUUUUCGUGGGGGAUAACGUAGGGAAACUUACGCUAAUACCGCAUACGCCCUUCGGGGGAAAGCCGGGGAUCGCAAGACCUGGCGCGGAUAGAUGAGCCGAUGUCGGAUUAGCUAGUUGGUGAGGUAAUGGCUCACCAAGGCGACGAUCCGUAGCUGGUCUGAGAGGAUGAUCAGCCACACUGGAACUGAGACACGGUCCAGACUCCUACGGGAGCAGCAGUGGGGAAUAUUGGACAAGUGGGCGCAAGCCUGAUCCAGCCAUACCGCGUGGGUGAAGAAGGCCUUCGGUUGUAAAGUCCCUUUUGUUAGGAAAGAAAGCAAUCGGUUAAUACCGGUUGUUACUAGACGUACCCAAAGAAUAAGCACCGCUAACUCGACGCCAGCAGCCGACGUA
rnacentral:rRNA from 1 species